GAUUCCCCUAGUAGCGGCGAGCGAAGCGGGAAAAGCUCAAAUUUGUAAUCUGGCGUCUUCGACGUCCGAGUUGUAAUCUCGAGAAGUGUUUUCCGUGAUAGACCGCAUACAAGUCUCUUGGAACAGAGCGUCAUAGUGGUGAGAACCCAGUACACGAUGCGGAUGCCUAUUACUUUGUGAUACACUUUCGAAGAGUCGAGUUGUUUGGGAAUGCAGCUCAAAUUGGGUGGUAAAUUCCAUCUAAAGCUAAAUAUUGGCGAGAGACCGAUAGCGAACAAGUACCGUGAGGGAAAGAUGAAAAGCACUUUGGAAAGAGAGUUAACAGUACGUGAAAUUGUUGGAAGGGAAACACAUGCAGUGAUACUUGCUAUUCGGGGCAACUCGAUUGGCAGGCCCGCAUCAGUUUUUCGGGGCGGAAAAUCGUAGAGAGAAGGUAGCAGUUUCGGCUGUGUUAUAGCUCUUUACUGGAUUCGCCCUGGGGGACUGAGGAACGCAGCGUGCUUUUAGCAUGAGCUUCGGCUUAUCCACGCUUAGGAUGCGGGUUUAUGGCUGUAUAUGACCCGUCUUGAAACACGGACCAAGGAGUCUAACAUGCUUGCGAGUAUUUGGGUGUCAAACCCGGAUGCGCAAUGAAAGUGAAUGGAGGUGGGAAGCGCAAGCUGCACCAUCGACCGAUCUGGAUUUUUUAAGAUGGAUUUGAGUAAGAGCAAGUAUGUUGGGACCCGAAAGAUGGUGAACUAUGCCUGAAUAGGGCGAAGCCAGAGGAAACUCUGGUGGAGGCUCGUAGCGGUUCUGACGUGCAAAUCGAUCGUCAAAUUUGGGUAUAGGGGCGAAAGACUAAUCGAACCAUCUAGUAGCUGGUUCCUGCCGAAGUUUCCCUCAGGAUAGCAGAAACUCACAUCAGUUCUAUGAGGUAAAGCGAAUGAUUAGAGGCCUUGGGGUUGAAACAACCUUAACCUAUUCUCAAACUUUAAAUAUGUAGGAAGCCCUUGCUACUUAA
rnacentral:rRNA from 1 species